rnacentral:tRNA from 1 species
GGAGCAGUCGAGACUGAAUGGUAACAAUGUUCGCUUUAUUAGCGAAAGGUCCUGGGUUCGAUACCCAUCUGUUCCC